AGACAAUACAUGUGGGAUUUAAGUUAGCUGCAAAAAUACAUACCUGCAUUCACACAUGGGCCUACAUGCAUAUUUUUCCCCUGAAUUAAAUACCCAUCACACACAUCCAAUAAUCCCAGCACAAAUUUCACAAACAGCCAGUGAAAUAUAUGCUUACAUAUAUCACACACAGUCAAUACACCCAUCACAAAUAUCACACAGCUAGCACAUAGCAUACAUAUCACACACAGACAUUACGCCUCUCACACACAUUUAAUAAAUCCCCUAUAUAAACACUACACCCCUUUACAUACACUAUCCAUAAAUGAAGGGGUAUGACCGGGAAGCGGUGCUGUGGCGAUUUGUUUUGCAUAGGGCGCCCUAAGGCCGACCCUGGCUGCGGUAAUGCUCUAAUAGAGUAGAAGGAAUGGAGAACUUAGUCUGUAAGACCAAUUUCUUCCUGUUACCCCUCUGUAUCAGUGGCUGCAGCCAUCGUUAUGGCUUGACUUGAGGAGGUGAGGGACUGAGGCACUUAAAGUCAUCCCUAUUACCAGGGAACACCGGGCUUGUCAGGAGACCCUUUUAUCUCUGUGCCAGCACUCUGACUGCAUUAGGGUGUGCCUAGGUACACCUAUGCUGCUAAUCGAGAUAAAAAUUUAAGAGCUUGAUCUCAUUUUUAUAGCGUCCUGUGUGGGAGGAGGGGGAGAACCAAACAAAAACAACUCAACUGUCUUGGCACUCAAUACGUUACCCAUGGAAAACAAACAAUACAUAUUCUAUGAGUCUG